UGUUAAAUAGUUCUAAUGGUUUUCAUGGU
rnacentral:piRNA from 1 species